rnacentral:sRNA from 2 species
GAUACAUAAUACGCCCAAUGGAUCGCGCAGCAAGAAGUUGAUAACAUCCAAACUAAAUCCCCAGCAUGGAUCCCGCCUCUCCCAAUGGCGACAUGGGCUUCUGGGUAUCACCGGCAGGCUCCUCCUGAGCUGGAUUCUGGAGCUUGCUUUUUGGAUAGUCCGCCUUCUUUUCUUCUUCUCCCUCUACUUCCUCAUCUUCCUCCUCCUCACCCUCCUCGUCCGCGUCUUCCUCUUCUUCAGCAGCCUGUUCGGCCUGGAAGAACCCCGUAUACAACACAUAUCCCACAAACAUCCCUAGGCCAGCCAAUACAGUUGCUAUCGACGUAUAUAACUCUCGUCGCUGCAUCGUGGCGACCUUCGCUGCUAUCUCCUUCUCCUCACAGGGGCCCUGCGCCUGCUCUCCCGCCCGUUGCAAUCUAGCGUUGGCUCUGAUCUGCUGCACAAUUGGUAUCGAAUCCGCUAUCCCUUCCAACGCCCGCUUUCCCAUUGCUCCAAGGCUAACCAGCUCCGGAGCUCGCCAAGGCAGGCUCGAUGCCACCCCCACGCUCUCUGAAAACGCCAUGGACACCUCCACUGGCACAUCGCCAAAACACCGCGACCGUAAUCGGGCUACAUAGGCCACUAAUUGCGGUCCGUGUUCCGUGACAGCAUCUCUCAACCACGGGUUUGGAAGGUUUGGAACUAAGGCCAGGGAGAGAUAACCCAACGCCAAACAAUCUUGACUCGACGGAAUUUCCGAUGAUAACAGAUACCCUUUCCGCCCCAGAAGCUCUUCUAGAGGUGCCACAAAUGCGCUGGCCAUGCCCUCCAGUCGUAUCUGGUUUUGUUUUGAAGACCUGUUUAAAAUAUCGCUCACUGUCGCCUGGCGCUUGCGGAUAAGGCUUUUGGGGAUUUUGCUUGCUAGGCUACUGGGAUCCCGCGCUUGAUGUCUCUGCUCCUCCACCAUCACAUCGACAUCAAGGGAUGUAAGACCGAGAUAUUCUGUGCGUUUCUUAGCCAGUUUUCGAAUUUGUGGUGGCGUUAUCCAUUGGCUGGGCCAUUGGAGAAACGAUGCAUAGGCCUGGGAAGUCGCAUUGUUAUAAUUAUCACUCGACACGUAUAAGGAAAGGUCAAUCAAUGGCUGGCCUUGGGAUUCGAGAAAGGAUGAGAACCUGUUAUCGCCACUGUUAAGUCCUGUAAUGCAAUUCAUAUGCUUUGCUUUCAAAAUGAAAUUAGAUUUGGUAGAAACAUGCACAUACGCUAUGCAAUCUGCUUUCUCUUUUUGACCCAUCCACCGAUCCAAGUCCCAUUCUCCGUCAGAGUAUUGGCUUAGGUAUGCUACGAUGUUCCUGAAUCGACUGAUCCACCUCGUUCCGGUCCAUAACGCUGGUAGUUCAUCUGCAAAUACCCAUUAAUUAGCAUCCGUAUUCUGGUCUCAUAGUAUUUUUAAUCAGUAAAGGAGACGGAUAAGCCGCAUACACCUUAAAAGGAAAGCGAGCAAGGCGGAAAACAGCAGCGAAUCUGAUAUGUGAAAUGACAAGGUCGUUACUCACUAGUUGGAACCAUACCAGGAUCGCUGUCCGCUACCAACACCCACUGUUCCUGUUCCCCAUCAGAACCUCUUAACUUCAUGGGGACGGCCAAAGCAAAAUAUGCAACCAUCGAAAUACAUUGUGGGUCGAUCGAAGGCAGCCCAAAUGCUGGGCCCCAAAUAUGUAGUUCGAAUACCAUAGUUUGUUUUUCUCCUUUUAUUUCCUUCCUUUGACAAGCUCCCUUGUUCUAGUCCUUUCCUCCCUCCUGUUCCUUCAGUCCCACGCGCCAGACACCCUCAUAUAUGGCUAGGUUUGCGUUGAGUUUGUUGUGCACAGGUUAUGGCGUACCUAUUUCCGCGAACCGAUUUGAUUUUGCUAUCCAACAAAUAUGAACGUAUAUACUCAGGUGUGCACCUGGAAAGGAGCUGGAGAAGCUCUGAAAUCGUUGGGAGUGUUUCUGACACUGUUCACCAGCCUGAGAGUGAACGGCACGGCUCUAUUGAUGGAGGACGGAGGUUGCUAAUAAUACAAAUGAGGUAGUCGAUUUCCUCCACCGCAUAAGACGUAUUGAUCACAAUCGUGCUGGGAGGUGCCCGAGGUUCCACUUUCUUGUUCAUAUCGUCCACGUGAUAUGGUCUGUCUUUGACCUUCAAAGCCACC